AAGCAUGAUGAGGGCAUUUCCUAAUCAUUUUCUUAAAUUUCUCCUAGCUUUCAUAAAUGAUUCUCCCUCAAAUAGGGUAAAAGAUGUGAUAUCAUUCCUAAGCUU